rnacentral:rRNA from 1 species
GUAGUCAUAUGCUUGUCUCAAAGCUUAAGCCAUGCAAGUUUAAGUACAAAUAAAAUAACAGUAAAACCGCAAAACGCUCAUUAAACCAGCUUUGGUUUACUAGACCAUAUCCAUUAUUUGGAUAACUGUGGUAAUUCUAUAGCUAAUACAUGAAACACAGCUUUUGCUAGAAGUGGCAUAAGUAUUUUUAUUGAUAAAAAAUCAAAUCCACUAGUUAUCUAACUGAUGGAAUCUAUAUGAUGAGUCGAAAUAAUUAAAAUAUCGCAUUGUUGUAAAACAGACGAGCUAUCUUUCAAAUGCCUGACUUAUCACACUAGAUGGUUGGUAAUAUUGUCAACCAUGGUUGUAACGGGUAACGGGGAAUCAGGGUUCGAUUCCGGAGAGGGAGCCUGAGAAACAGCUACCACAUCCAAGGAAGGCAGCAGGCACGCAAAUUACCCACUCCCGGCACGGGGAGGUAGUGACAAAAAAUAACGAUACGGGACUCAUCCGAGGCCCCGUAAUCGGAAUGAGAACAAUAUAAAUUCUUUAACGAGUAUCUAUUGGAGGGCAAGUCUGGUGCCAGCAGCCGCGGUAAUUCCAGCUCCAAUAGCGUAUAUUAAAUUUGUUGCGGUUAAAAAGCUCGUAAUUGGUUCUGUGUGCCACGCUGUUGGUUUACCGCCUGUCGGUGUAACUGACAUGUCGUGGGACGUCCUGUCGGUGUUAACUGCAACCCAAGUUUUACUCUAAGAUUUAGGUCAAAGAUAAAGCUUUGGGACUCAUUGUGGUUACCGAUUUAUUGCCAUCUCGGUGCUCUUUAUUGAGUGUCGAGGUGGGCCGACAUAUUUACUUUGAACAAAUUAAAGUGCUUAAAGCAGGCUAAAUUUUGCCUGAAUAAUAAUGCAUGGAAUAAUAUAAUAGGACCUUGGUUCUAUUUUGUUGGUUUUAAGAAUGCAAGGUAAUGAUCAAUAUGGACGGUCGGGGGCAUUCGUAUUGCGGCGUUAGAGGUGAAAUUCUUGGAUCGUCGCAAGACGAACUAGAGCGAAAGCAUUUGCCAAGUACGUCUUAAUUGAUCAAGAACGAAAGUUAGAGGUUCGAAGGCGAUCAGAUACCGCCCUAGUUCUAACCAUAAACGAUGUCAACUAGCAAUCCGCCGGGUUCCUUAGAUGACCCGCGCGGGCGACCCCCGGGAAACCAAAGUUUUUGGUUUCCGGGGGAAGUAUGGUUGCAAAGCUGAAACUUAAAGGAAUUGACGGAAGGGCACCACCAGGAGUGGAGCCUGCGGCUUAAUUUGACUCAACACGGGAAACCUCACCAGGCCCAGACAUUUGAAGGAUUGACAGAUUGAUAGCUCUUUCUUGAUUCAGUGGGUAGUGGUGCAUGGCCGUUCUUAGUUGGUGGACCGAUUUGUCUGGUUAAUUCCGAUAACGAACGAGACUCUAGCUUAUUAACUAGUCGUUUUGGUAUCCAGUGCUACCAGCGACAAUAUAUCUUCUUAAAGGGAAAGGCGGCAUCCAGCCGCACGAGAUUGAGCAAUAACAGGUCUGUGAUGCCCUUAGAUGUUCUGGGCCGCACGCGCGCUACACUGAAGGAAUCAGCGUGUAUCUCCCUGGCCGAAAGGUCUGGGUAACCCGCCGAACCUCCUUCGUGCUAGGAAUUGGGGUUUGCAAUUAUCCCCCAUGAACGAGGAAUUCCCAGUAAGCGUGAGUCAUAAGCUUGCGCUGAUUACGUCCCUGCCCUUUGUACACACCGCCCGUCGCUACUACCGAUUGAAUGAUUUAGUGAGGUCUUCGGACCGACAACAAUUGAAUUGCUUUUGUAAUUUCAAUGUUGUUGGAAAGAUGACCAAACUUGAUCAUUUAGAGGAAGUAAAAGUCGUAACAAGGUUUCCGUAGGUGAACCUGCGGA